GUGACACCUGUAAACAACACAGUUGGACGUGAUGUAAGACACGUUGUGAUUUCGUCACGUGUCGCUAUGGGGCGAUUGAGGAUGCGAAUUACGGAUAAAGAUUUAAAGGUCUCUCUCUCUUUCUCGAGGUAACAAAGAUCUCGCAAAGCAGACGCGUGGCAGAAGGUUAGAAAGAAUGGACGUGCGAAAAGGUCAAAGAAUCGGAGGCUGAUACCUUUGGAGAAGACAACGUAGGUAUAAAGAGAGAAAUAUGUACAUACGCGAUGGUAGGGAAGUAGAAGAAUUCGAUCGGCAAGGACGUACGGAUCGUCGGCCUCCUCCAUGUAUAACUCCAUAAUUCAACACGGGCGGCGCGACGUACCGAAGGCUUGACGGGAACGCGGCAAGAGGGAGCCUGACGAGCAAAAACUAGAGACCGAAGAAAACAACGUCGAAUGGUAAAAAAGAUAUCCUGACCUCGGGACGCCACAUUCAUUCAUCGAUGUUCCGGGAUCUAUUAAUCAUUCGUGCGAUCCAGUUCUUGAAUAUAUAACCCGGAGGACAAUUCCGAAAACAGUGACGCGAACGAACGUUAACGAACACGUCGAAACUCGCAAGACAUAGACGCUCCGUGGGUUUGAGAAUCUAAUCGAAAAUAUAGGUUAGAUUGUUCACAUUAAAUUUUGACAGGUCCUCUGUGCUCGUUCUAUAAAGAAACGGUAUUCCCAUCUUCAGUGUAGCCAACGAGAUUGAAACGAGUCGAUAAAACGGUUAAUUAUAAAACUUCGAAGUAACGUAUACAAUUCCAGCGAAUCGCUCUAUGAGAAUUGUCGAGUGGCGGGACGCGUGCGGAUUUACCGUUUUUCGCGUCGUCCGAGGUAGACGCUCGGCGUCCGCGAGAAUGCCGAUAGGACGGGUCUGGAGAAAGGUGCACGGUGAUCUAGAGGAAAUAUAUAGGAUGAGAAUUGAAGUCGGCGCCGAUAUCUUGGAACCAGUGAAGCGGCGUCGACCGAUGGGCGUCUCUUGGGAUAAGUGCGUUUACACCGAUACUGGUCUCUCCUCCAUGCUUUGCAGGUUAACCGUCUUACACGUUUGAGAAAGACCGGAUCAGGUUCUUCAAAAGAAACUCAUUAUGGAGUCAUUGCUGCGUAUCAACAAGAAAUUGCUUGUUACUAAGUGUCCAUGGGAUUCAGCAGGAUCCAUUCAAGUAGAAAAAGGAAGUUGUUGACCGUGGCAAGCUUUGCAGUAGGCGCUCUCUAACGAGACAGCAGACUUCAACCAGAGAAUUUCCAGGGCUGAUAUUCGCCUUAACAUUGCUGGGUAACAAGAUAGCAACGAGGCAGUCCUCUUUGUGAUGUUCUAUAGAAAUUUUAUCCAGAAAGAGUCCUCAUGACGUCAACAUAUUUAAAGCUUUCUCAUGCCCUUUUCCCAGGAUCAAUUUCCAGACGGUCAAACAUCAGCCUGAACUUUUUCAACGAUUCAGAUGAGUUCAAAAAAGGGAUCCAAAAUUCAAUCCCUUAUUUCUCUACAUAGAAACAGAGUAUCAUAGUUCAGGAUAGUCCAUAGAUUCUAAUCCCCUGGGUACCAGGUCAUCUACUCCUGAACAGUGCAUGGAGGAAGGACACAGGAGUGCACUUGAGGAGGUACUGGGUUGGCAUGCCGAGGAAAAGAAAAGUGGCCCUGGUCGAGGUAAGACUCCGCCAUGCUAACGACUCCCACCAUGAACGAGUGCACCAAGUAUUCGCUUAGCGACCACAGGUAGCAGGAUCGGCAAUGGCAGAGCUACCAGCACUGUCAGGAGUAGCAGCAACACUGCUAGCGGCACGAAUAGCAAUACGGCAUCAAAAGGUAGAGGUGGACUCUGGCGCCGGCGGGACAGGCAUAAAAAGAGAAAAGCACCGCGCACUCGACUUCGGCCGAGAAGCUUCCAUCCUGGUCUUGGCGUUCUAACGUACCUUGACGAUGGUCGCAUGUGAAUUGGGUUAUUCAGUUAUUUUAGGAUCCUGUCAAAUAGCCCAUCUUAAAUACGUAAGAGGUUAAGAAUCGAGAUUAAUAACUAAGUAGAGGAUGAUUGUUUUGCUAUUAAAGAAAAAGCAGUUUGGCAGCAAAGGAAGAAGAAAAAAUCGAACUACGUCUUCUCGUUGGAUUAAAACGUACGAAAUUACAGGUUGAUUAUUGAAAUUGAUAGGCAGCGAGUUAGCAAUUUUUUUUCUAAGUACAACAACUGAGAAUCCUCAGUGCGACGCGGUCGUCGUUAAGGCGGCGUCCUUCGUGUCCACGAUUAUCCGACAAGGUCGGGAAAACUGCUACUGCGCAUGCGCGAACGUAUUUCCGUCGACGUUUAUGAGAACUUCAAGGUCGUGGACGAUAAAAUAAUCGAAAUGAUUGACUCGCGAGACGGGUAAUAAGGAUUUUAUAUCCUAGCCACAACGCGCUCGUCGAUGACGUUCGUCGCACGAGACUCAAAUCAGGAUCUGAGAACUGAGUCAUCGAAGUGCUCAAACAAUUUAGUACGAUACGUCCGUCGUAUCCAAGGUAAAGAUACAAUUUUUUUUUUCCCUCUUUUUCACUCGAAUACAUAAUUUGACUAAUUGCACGGACGUCAGAUCGAAACUCGUUAAACUUGAAGUAUCCUUCGGAGAAGUAUCUUUCUUCGUCCCCGUGAAAAAAAAAAAAAAAAUUACAGGAAACCUCGAGUAUUAAGAAAAUGCAUAAAUUUAUCUUACUAUCCAAUUAAUAAUUAUUAAAAAAUUCAAAGUCCGUUUUUUCUCGAGAAACAAGGCGUACCAACGACAGACAAGAACUGCCAAAGUCCGAUAUCCAGAAGAAACCAACUCCCAAUGCAAAGCAUCGUAGUUAAGCGUAACGACGCUCUACACACCACUUUGUCAUUAUAAAUUGUUAACGCGUACCGAUGUGCACGAAAGGGAGCCAGUACCAGGAGUACGUGGUCGCCAUUAGAAAGUAUCCAUUCUGGCUGUCGGCAGCCUCGUUCCUCCUAGAUCGCAACACUAUUAUUAGACGAUCGGAUCGAUACGAUUUUACAGACACGGCGAGAUCGGCAUAGCGAUCGUAGCCAAAGGCGUGUCGCGUGCGUCGCCAUAUAAAUAGGUAAAAGGAGGAAAGAAGCGAGAAUCCAAAAAAAAAAAAAAAAA